rnacentral:lncRNA from 1 species
AAAAAACUGGUAUAGGAUUAGGAGGAGCUGUUUAUGGAAAAAAAUAUUAUAAAGAAAAAACAUAAAGGACAGUGGAAAAAAAAUGAUCGUGUAUUACUUUGUUGAUUAACAUCGCAAAUCAAUUAAAAAACUCAACAAUGCGCGCCUCCAUCAUCGACGUUAAUAUGGUCUUGUAGAGCAAACAUCUUGUACUCGAAAAUGGACAGCAAACACAUAAAUAACAUGAUUAACCCAUUUAAACACUCACCAACGCAUUCCCAUUAUCGACGUCACAAUAUGCAGUUUUUAUGCCUCCAGCUUUUACUCCAUUUUAGACAACAAAAAAAAUCAACGGCAUGAGAAUGGAUACGGAUGAAAUGAGAGUCGUGACGUAUGACAUUACUUUUGGUUUGGAAAAACGUAAGAAUAAACAAAAAGGAAAAAUAUGCAGCCGUUAAACACAGAGAUACUGAUUAUAUUUCCCGAACUUAUUCUACAAUAUAUAAAAUAACUGAAAUAGAAACCGGAGAAAAUUCUAGAACUUCAUUCAAAUCCCUGAAGUUUAAACCACAUAUAUACCUACAUCAUAAGUUUGCUUCAUUUUGGCUCAUUUCAAUCUGUCAAAUCCAUAUAGUUGGUAAUCUGCUUUCUGAAUCUCAAAACAUGGAUGCUACAAAUUCGGAGCAGAAAACCCGUAAGAAUUGGAAAUUUACACAUUUUAUACAUAUUAAUUAUAACUUAGAUUUUCAGGUCUAUAACUGUAUCUACUCACACACACGCUAAUGUACCUUAUUUCCAAUCGCUUUGCCUACUCAUUAGCAUUUUUUGAAAUAAUUCUGUAAGCAUUCUCCUUCUCAAGCAAUCCAUUGUUUUUUUUCAAGCAUUGCACUGGUGGCCAUAGAUAGUUAAGUCGUAGUAAUCAGAGGGUACACACUUGAAUGGACAGCCUGCAAUGAUGGUCGAAUUUGGACAUUGUACACUCUAAUUGUUUUCUCAAACGUCAACAUAAAUGGAGUUCCUAGUUGUGAAAAAAUCUGAAUGAAAAGGAAGAGAAACUAAAAAACAAAACUGCAGCAUAUAUCUAAUUAUCCAUGUAACACUCAAUUUUCUAUUUUCUGUAAAAUAAUCCAACAAAAAUUAGAACAAAACAAUCCAAUAAUUGCGAGGCAUAAAGACACACACCUACUAUGAUAUCUGCACAAUAUGCAAUAAAUUACAACCUUGCUUGAAAUUACAACCUUGCUUGAUAAAGAUGAGGAUCGGAGACAUCAUAGCCAUGGUGUACCGAAAN